rnacentral:rRNA from 1 species
CCUACGGGAGGCAGCAGUGAGGAAUUUUCCGCAAUGGGCGAAAGCCUGACGGAGCAAUACCGCGUGAGGGAUGAAGGAUUUUGGUCUGUAAACCUCUUUUCUCAAGAAAGAAGUUCUGACGGUACUUGAGGAAUAAGCAUCGGCUAACUCCGUGCCAGCAGCCGCGGUAAUACGGGGGAUGCAAGCGUUAUCCGGAAUGAUUGGGCGUAAAGCGCCUGUAGGUUGUUUAUUAAGUCCGUUGUUAAAGCCUAGGGCUCAACCCUAGAAAAGCAAUGGAAACUAGUAGACUAGAGUAUGGCAGGGGUAGAGGGAAUUUCUAGUGUAGCGGUGAAAUGCGUAGAUAUUAGAAAGAAACACCGGUGGCGAAAGCGCUCUACUGGACCAUUACUGACACUCAGAGGCGAAAGCUAGGGUAGCAAAAAGGGAUUAGAUACCCCUGUAGUCCUAGCCGUAAACGAUGGAUACUAGAUGUUGUGNAUAUNUANAGUAUGUAGACUAACGACGUUAAGUUAAUACCCGUCCCGUCGGGGUAGGGUACGGCGUCCGCGAAGGGUAGGUAAAACGUUAAAAAGGUAAAAGUUAGUACGGCGUGAGACGUGCCGAACGGACGACACGAGGGGAGGAGG